GGUUCUAUGGUGUAAUGGUUAGCACUUUGGACUUUGAAUCUAGCGAUCCGAGUUCAAGUCUCGGUAGAACCU
rnacentral:tRNA from 1 species